UGGGAAUUUUGGACAAUGGGCGCAAGCCUGAUCCAGCAAUGCCGCGUGCAGGAUGAAGGCCUUCGGGUUGUAAACUGCUUUUGUACGGAGCGAAAAGGUCUGCCCUAAUACGGUGGGCUCAUGACGGUACCGUAAGAAUAAGCACCGGCUAACUACGUGCCAGCAGCCGCGGUAAUACGUAGGGUGCGAGCGUUAAUCGGAAUUACUGGGCGUAAAGCGUGCGCAGGCGGUUAUAUAAGACAGAUGUGAAAUCCCCGGGCUCAACCUGGGACCUGCAUUUGUGACUGUAUAGCUAGAGUACGGUAGAGGGGGAUGGAAUUCCGCGUGUAGCAGUGAAAUGCGUAGAUAUGCGGAGGAACACCGAUAGCGAAGGCAAUCCCCUGGACCUGUACUGACGCUUAUGCACGAAAGCGUGGGGAGCAAACA
rnacentral:rRNA from 1 species